rnacentral:snRNA from 1 species
AAAAAGGGUAGGCCCUCUAUUCUGGGGCACAAACGGCGAAGGCGCAGCUUGCGCUUUUGCCCUGUGGUGAAUCGCGAUCAAGAGAUUUGCCCUACAGAAUUUCUCACUCGCUGGUGGUUUCAAAUGGACCUCGUAGGUCAAUUCCACCA